rnacentral:rRNA from 1 species
AUUGAACGCUGGCGGCAGGCCUAACACAUGCAAGUCGAGCGGAUGAAGGGAGCUUGCUCCUGGAUUCAGCGGCGGACGGGUGAGUAAUGCCUAGGAAUCUGCCUGGUAGUGGGGGAUAACGUCCGGAAACGGGCGCUAAUACCGCAUACGUCCUGAGGGAGAAAGUGGGGGAUCUUCGGACCUCACGCUAUCAGAUGAGCCUAGGUCGGAUUAGCUAGUUGGUGGGGUAAAGGCCUACCAAGGCGACGAUCCGUAACUGGUCUGAGAGGAUGAUCAGUCACACUGGAACUGAGACACGGUCCAGACUCCUGCGGGAGGCAGCAGUGGGGAAUAUUGGACAAUGGGCGAAAGCCUGAUCCAGCCAUGCCGCGUGUGUGAAGAAGGUCUUCGGAUUGUAAAGCACUUUAAGUUGGGAGGAGGGGCAGUAAGUUAAUACCUUGCUGUUUUGACGUUACCGACAGAAUAAGCACCGGCUAACUUCGUG